AAGUCGAGCGGUAGAGAGAAGCUUGCUUCUCUUGAGAGCGGCGGACGGGUGAGUAAUGCCUAGGAAUCUGCCUGGUAGUGGGGGAUAACGUUCGGAAACGGACGCUAAUACCGCAUACGUCCUACGGGAGAAAGCAGGGGACCUUCGGGCCUUGCGCUAUCAGAUGAGCCUAGGUCGGAUUAGCUAGUUGGUGAGGUAAUGGCUCACCAAGGCGACGAUCCGUAACUGGUCUGAGAGGAUGAUCAGUCACACUGGAACUGAGACACGGUCCAGACUCCUACGGGAGGCAGCAGUGGGGAAUAUUGGACAAUGGGCGAAAGCCUGAUCCAGCCAUGCCGCGUGUGUGAAGAAGGUCUUCGGAUUGUAAAGCACUUUAAGUUGGGAGGAAGGGCAGUAANUUAAUACUUUGCUGUUUUGACGUUACCGACAGAAUAAGCACCGGCUAACUCUGUGCCAGCAGCCGCGGUAAU
rnacentral:rRNA from 1 species